GACGAACGCUGGCGGCGUGCUUAACACAUGCAAGUCGAGCGGUAAGGCCCCUUCGGGGGUACACGAGCGGCGAACGGGUGAGUAACACGUGGGUGACCUGCCCUCAGCUCUGGGAUAAGCCUGGGAAACUGGGUCUAAUACCGGAUAUGACUCCAUGACGCAUGUCGUGGGGUGGAAAGCCUUGUGCGGCUGGGGAUGGGCCCGCGGCCUAUCAGCUUGUUGGUGGGGUGAUGGCCUACCAAGGCGACGACGGGUAGCCGGCCUGAGAGGGCGACCGGCCACACUGGGACUGAGACACGGCCCAGACUCCUACGGGAGGCAGCAGUGGGGAAUCUUGCGCAAUGGGCGAAAGCCUGACGCAGCGACGCCGCGUGAGGGAUGAC
rnacentral:rRNA from 1 species